rnacentral:lncRNA from 1 species
AUGAAUAAAGUCAUUUUCUUCUGCAUUUUUUCUUCCUGGAUUAUGCAAAUACUUUCCAGAGAUGUUUCAGAACAUGAAGUGACUCUCUUGAGAGUCCAGCGGAAGGAAAACAUCAGCCUGAACUGCAACAUGACUGACAGAUAUGAAAUGGCCUGGUUUCACCAGUAUUCUCAACAACUAAAUCAACUAAUAUCUGCAAAGGUGAGCAGUGUGUCAGGAAGACUUCUAGUUAUGUACAAUCAAAACUGGAGUCAUCUAACCGUUGGAGAACACCAUGCAGAUGUGGGGAUCACCACAGUCAAGCUAGUUAUUUCUGGAGUAACAGAAACCGACUCAGGCCUUUAUUUCUGUGGAACAAAAUCAGUGACUUCAAAGACUUCAAAGAUGCACUUCGACAAACCCACCAGACUACAGAUCGAGGGUUAGUACCACUGACCUCAGUUUCUCUCAAUUCUUCAUAAUGUUUUCAAUGCUGCUUUUUUGAGUAAAUUAUUUUACAAAUGUAUUUAAUUAAUCACUAGUAAAGCUAGUGUCUCCAUCGAUCAAACCAUUUUCACUCCAAGUAAAGUAAAGGGCAACGUUUGAAUGAUUCCUGGAAUUAAAUGUGUUAUUGAGGAAAGGUUUACUGCUAUAAUAAUACUGAAACUGAACAUUGUUUUUGUUUAUUUUUGUUUUAUUGAGCUUUUGUGUUUGAUUACAUGAUCUUACGUGACCCUAGAGCACAAAACCAGUCAUAAGUCAAUUUCUUGAAAUUGAGAUUAAUAGAUCAUCUGAAUAAAUGAUCUCUCCAUUGAUGUGUUGUUUGUUCGGAGGACAAUAUUUGUCUGAGAUACAACUAUUAGAAAAUCUGAGGGAGCAAAAAAAUCUAAAGUUGAUUUAAAGUUGUCCAAAUUAAUUCUUUGCAAUGCAUAUUACUAAUCAAAAAUGAAGUUUUGAUAUAUUUACGGGAAACUUGCACAAUAUAUUCAUGGAUCACAAUCUUUACUUAAUAUCCUAAUGAUUUUUAAGAAAAAUAGAUCAUUUUGACCCAUACAUCGUAUUUUUGGCUAUUGCUACAAAUAUACCCCAGAGACUUCAGACUGCUUUUGUGCUCCAGGGUCACAAAUAUUUAAAAUAUUUUCAGACAAGCUGACAGACAGAGAAGACCGAGUCCAUUCUGUCACAGAAACACCAGAGAUUGUUGAUGUCACAGGUAAGAGAAAUCAUUCUUGUGUCUCAUUUUCUCACAACUUGAAAUCAGUACAGAUUUAUCAAGGAUGUAAAUGUAAAAUUUACUGGCUAACUAUCUGGGUUUCUUAAUUCUGCAAAAUUCUGCUUUCUCUUUGUAGAGGAAGUGACUACGAAAGAGAGGGCGUUGAUGUUUGGUGGUGUUGGUCUGGCGAUUGCAGUGUUUUUUCUGGCUACAGUCAUUGCAGGAGGAAUAAUUCACUAUCGCGGCUGGCAGAAAGGAUGGAGCGCCGCCAAACGCUCAUCUCUGAUUCAUCACAAUUCAGCUAAAUAACUUCUGUUUCUGCUUUAUUUCAAAGUCUAACUCAGUAUACCCAUGAGCUUUGCUUUGCUGUAGGUUACCACAAAUGUUGUAAAUGUCCCCUUUUUUAGCCCCAGUGAAAAUACUUGUUAAUAGUUGUGGUUAUUUCUCAAGGUUUUGUGGUUCACUUGUGAUUAUCAGUAAUAUAAAAACGCUGCUGCACUGUAAAAAAUCGAAUGAGCUGUUUACUUAAAAAAAAUGAAGGUAACAAUAUUACACAAAAUAUUUUUUGAGUAGUUCUUCAGGCUUGAUUUUAUAAUGGCAUCUAUCAUGUGAAAUCUCCUAAAUGAAUUAAUCUAUGACUCAAUUGAUUUAAUAUGAUUAGGGAAAUGUGCUCAUUUAUUUUAAGCUUAUUCUCAAAGAUCUGUGAAUGAGGUCUGUUUGUAUUCUAUUAUUUUAUACAUUUACAAGACUAUAUACAGCCAAUCAGCUCAAGUAGAAAAAUGCUUGAGAAAUACAGGAAAGUACUGCACUAGCAAAGCUACUGUUCAUUAAACAAGGCAUGAAACCACAAGCUCUGUGGAAACUUCGAUGUUACAGAAACUUACAAAUGUCAAACAUAACUGAACAUUAAACAUUAACAGAUGCUUCCCUUCACUCAAAAACAUAAAGUAGCAUUUCAUUUCAAAACUUACUCUCCAUAUCCAGCCACAUGCAAAGCAUGCGGGGAACUAACAAUCACCUCUAAAAUAAAACUGCAAAAUUGAGCUAAUUCUCUUAAAAUAAAUAGGCAGCCUUGUUUCAUUAAUUAUUUUAGUUUAACCAGUUCCCCAAUUCAAGCACCAAAACUGCCUCCUUAAAAAAAAUGGUUUUAUUAGUAAAAGGUCCUCAUUAUUUUCUAUACAACACUGAAUCACUAUUUCUUUAAUGAAAUCCAUACAUUAUUUUUAAUUAUCACCUUAUUUUUUUUUAAUGAAAAUUACAAGACCAAUGAUUCAUUUUUUACAGUGUUCUGAUGUCUGUCUUUAAUGCAGUUUUUAUUUACAAUGUAUAAAGUCAAAGUAUGUUUUACGCACCUGUUUAUGUAGAGAAAGAGCACAAAAAGUAUAUCAUUUUAUAUAUGUCUAGCUGGAUCUUCACAUUAUAAAUUAUUAUCCAGAGGAGCAUUAAUGUACAUAUAAGAGGGGUUCAAGAGGAAAUGCUAUUAAAUAAAAUUGUCUUCAAUGUUAAACGUGUUAUUGAGAGCAAAACUAAGAGAUCACAUUUGUUUGUGCAUUUUUCAGUCUGGUCUCAUGUUCAUAUGUAGGUUUUAAUAUGUAAUAUUUACAAGCACAAAGCAUACAUUUUUAAACUCCCAUUAAAAGAAAUGAAGCAGUUACACUAUGAAAUAUAAGUCAAACUGCACAUUUCACCCAAAAUUGUUUUGUGUGAUACAAUUCCAAAUUUAGGAGGCCAGAGCGAGGGCUAAAGCUUGUUGACACGGGACAAAUGUGUGUGUACAGAGUAAUCAAACAAUUCUCACAUCAAUGUAGAAAACAUUUGAUUGCACUGAGUUAUCGAUGUAGAAUACUUUAAAACUUACAUUAAUAAAAAAGUAUUAUCAUAAUCAGUGCAUAAUGAUAAACAUAGGGUGAUAUCAGGUAAAAUGGGCGAUUAAAGGUUUGGGGGUCCUAGUCCCUCUGGAAUUUAGAACCAAUGACUACAAAAUACUUCAAACUAUUGUCAUAACUGUGCUUGACAAGUAACAGGUGAUUCAAUUGGUUUAUGGUUGCUAUGGUGGGUGGGGUAAUAAUUCUUUUCAAGACUGCACCAGAGAGCUGCAUGGUAAGUAGCCUGGCAUACCAAAUGUAACUAAACCAUUAUAAGGAUGAUAAAUCUAUAAAAAAAAUAAAAAAAACAUGCACAUAAAAAAUAUGCAUAAUAUCUGUAUUGAUGGCAUCAAUCAGAAAUAAUGUUGUUAGUUUGGUAUAGGAACAUAUUUUUUGAAAAAGUGAUGUUUUUCUUGGCGGCCCAAUUUACCUUAAGCCACUGAGGUAAAAUGGGCCACAUGGUUUCAGCUAAAAUGGGCCAUCAUCUGUGUCACUCACAAACACACAUACACAUGAGUGUUUGAGUGUGUGAGUGUGUGUGUGUGUGUGUGACACGCCCUCACUCACACACACACACACACUCACCAUGACACUUCACCAUCUGUGGGAAGAGGAGAGGAUAAAGGAGGCCUUAGAUGAAUGCAGGAAGGGAGUGAAGAAAGGAAUUACAUUGAGUGUGCACCUCUUAUCACAAGCAUGGGGUGUGCCACGAUCCACACUGCAAAGACUCGUCAGUGG